rnacentral:lncRNA from 1 species
AUCCCCGCCACCUGCCCGGCCCUUCCCGGGGAUCCCCCCGGCCCAGGCUCUGCCCCCCCGCCCCUUCCCGGGGAUCCCCCCGGCCCAGGCUCUGCCCCCCCCGCUCCUUCCCGGGGAUCUCCCCGGCACAGGCUCUGCCCCCCCCGCUUCUUCCCGGGGAUCCCCCCAGCUCAGGCUGUGCCCCCCCCGCCCCUUCCCGGGGAUCCCCCUGACACAGGCUCUGCCCCCCCGCUUCUUCCCGGGGAUCCCCCCAGCCCAGGCUCUGCCCCCCCCCCGCUUCUUCCCGGGGACCCCCCAGCCCAGGCUGUGCCCCCCCCGCCCCUUCCCGGGGAUCCCCCUGACACAGGCUCUGCCCCCCCGCUUCUUUCCGGGGAUCCCCCCGGCACAGGCUCUGCCCCCCCCCGCUUCUUCCCGGGGAUCCCCCCGGCACAGGCUCUGGCCCCCCCCACUCCUUCCCGGGGAUCCCCCCGACACAGGCUCUGCCCCCCCCCGCUCCUUCCCGGGGAUCCCCCCGACACAGGCUCUGCCUCCCCCCCGCUCCUUCCCUUGGAUCCCCGCAAUCCAGGCUCUGCCCCCACCACUCCUUCCCAGGGGUCUCCCCUAACCCAGGUGCUGCCCCUGCCUACUCUGCCCCCUGUCCCUUCCUGGGGAUCCCCCUGGCACAGACUCGGUCCCCCCCACGCUUCUCGGGGAUUCCCCCUCUGCACAGGCCGUGCCCUCCCUGUCCCUUCCUGGGGAUCCCCCCAAUCCCAGGCUCUGCCCCCGCCGCCCCUUCCCGGGGAUCCCCCCGGCACAGGCUCUGUCCCCCCCACCCUUCUCGGGGAUUCCCCCAAUCCCAGGCUUUGCCUCCCUGUUCCUUCCCAGGGAUCCACCCAAACUCAGGCGCUGCCCCUGCCUACUCUGCCCCCCAUCCCUUCCUGGGGAUCCCCCAGUCCAGCUCUGCCCCCCCAGUCCAGGCUCUGGCCCCCAGGCCUUUCCUGGUGGCUCCUAUCUCAGGUCCCUGUCCCCCCAGCCCUGUCUUCACACAGAGUGGCAGAGUUACCCUAA